CUAGUUCAGUUUUUGUUUAUAUUCUUAGUUUAGAUUUUGAAUAUACUAUUACCGCUGCAAAAGCUAAUUAGCUAAAGUUGCAUUGUCGAAACAGUGGAGCGCUCCGGAGUACUUAGUUCUUAAAGUUUAGAACCCUUGUGUGCACACAAUAAUAAUAAAACAAAAAAGUUGGCUUAUCAAAUAACAAACAUACAUAUAAAACAUUAUGGAAAUACAACAAUUAGAAACAUUGUGCAAGCAGCUGUACGAAGCAACCGAUGCUAGCAUACGCGCUGAUGCUGAAAAGAGACUUGUGUCUUUCGUCAAUAGCCAGGACGCCUUAUCCAAGUGUCAGCUAUUAUUAGAUCGAGCUGACUCCAGCUACGCACAACUACUUGCCGCAUCUACCCUAUCAAAACUUAUACAGGGGAUAACUCUUGGACAACGCAUUGAUAUUCGCAGCUAUGCCCUUAACUACUUGGCAACCAGGCUUAAUUUGCAGCACUUUGUAGUUCAAGCGCUUGUAACACUUCUAGCUAAAAUCACAAAAUAUGGGUGGUUUGAUUCAUACAAGGGCGAAUUUAUAUUUCAAAACAUACUUGAGGACGUGAAAAAGUUUUUACAGGGUUCAGUUGAGCAUUGUACGAUCGGCGUGCAAAUCCUUUCACAGCUGGUAUCAGAAAUGAAUUCAAUUGUGGAAUUAGAUGCUAACUUAUCAUUUUCAAAAAAUCGAAAGAUAGCUACAUCUUACCGAGAUCAGCAACUGUACGAUACUUUUCUACUUUCCUGCUCUCUGUUGAUUAAUGCACGAGACAACAGGAAGAAUUUAAAUUUUUUGGACGAAUCGCAACAGGCGCUAAUAUCCCAAGUCUUACGAUUAACAAAAAACUGCCUGAGCUUUGACUUUAUUGGUAGUUCCACUGAUGAGUCAGCUGAUGAUAUGAACAAUGUCCAGAUACCAACAGCUUGGCGUCCUGCUUUUCUUGACACAAACACAUUAAAAUUAUUCUUCGAUUUAUAUCAAAUUUUACCGAAUGGUUUAGCUAGUUAUUCACUUUCGUGCCUAGUACAAAUGACAUCUGUACGUCGAUCUCUGUUUAGUAACUCAGAGCGAACGAAAUUUCUGACCAACUUAGUUGAAGGAGUCAAAAAUAUACUCAGAAACUUACACGGUCUUAGCGAUCCAGAUAAUUACCAUGAAUUUUGUCGUUUGCUAGCGCGUCUGAAAUCCAAUUAUCAACUUGGGGAACUCAUUGCUGUUCCUUGCUACCCCGAAGCCAUAGAAUUAAUCGCGAAGUUUACGGUACAAUCGUUACAUAUGUGGCUCUUUGCUCCAAAUAGCGUGCACUAUUUACUUACUCUAUGGCAGCGUAUGGUUGCUUCAGUACCGUACGUCAAAUCGCCGGAUCCGCAUUUACUUGGCACAUAUACACCUGAAGUGAUAAAAGCAUACAUUGAGUCCCGUCUAGAGGCUGUGCCUUUAAUUGUACGUGAUAAUAUGGAGGAUCCCUUAGACGAUCUUUGUAUGGUACAACAACAGCUUGAACAGUUAUCGGUAAUCGAGCGUUGCGAGUACAAUAAGACUUGCAACCUUCUUGUACAACAUUUUGAUCAAAAGGCACGUGAGUACGAAAAUCUCAUACAGAGCCUCAAUGCAAACCCUAUAGAUAUUACGGUCCAUGAGUUGCAAUUGACUUGGUUGGUUUAUAUAAUUGGUUCGGCCAUUGUGGGGAGACUUUCUGUGACCACCAGUGAUGAACAUGACAAUAUGGAUGCAGAGCUUGUUAUUCGUGUACUGCAACUUAUGAGUUUAACUGACUCACGUCUUCCUCAAACUGGUUGUGAGAAGCUGGAACUGGCCAUUUUGAGCUUUUUAGAUCAGGUUCGGAAAAUGCAUAGCAGUGACCAGGCACAAAAAGCAACUGUUUACAAGCGCCUUAAUGAAGUUUUUGGACUAAAUGAUGAGCAAAUGUUGCUAAGUUUUAUAAACCGUAAAAUCAUAACUAACCUGAAGUUUUGGGGUCGUUCUGAGCAAAUAAUUACAAAAACUUUAGUGUUAUUAUCCGAUCUGUCAGUGCACUUUAAUUCAGUGCGUAAAUUGGCUCGCUUAGAGGAAGUUCAAUUCAUGUUAACACAUCACACAAGCGAACACUUUCCUUUUCUUGGUACGAGCUCAUCUCUGAACGAAAUGCGUUGUCGGACAAUGUUUUACACUGCCUUAAGUCGUUUAUUAAUGUUUGAUUUGGGCGAGGAUGAAGAACGUUUCUACAAUUUUCUUACACCACUUACAAAUCAGUUUGAAUCACUUGGAAACGUGCUAAUGGAUACAAAAAGUUUUCCAAAUGAUGAGGUCAAAAAAGCGAUUAUUGGGUUAGCCCGCGACUUGCGUGGUUUAGCAUUGCCGCUUAAUGCUCGUAUCCAAUACACUAUGCUUUUUGAAUGGCUUUACUACACUGAUUACUUACCCAUAUUGCUUCGUGCGGUGGAACUGUGGGCGCAUGAGCCUGCUAUUACUACCCCUGUCUUAAAGUUAUUUGCUGAGUUAGUGCAUUGCCGCACACAGCGUUUAGCCGGAAACGUUUCUAGCCCUAUGGGUAUUUUGCUGUUUCGCGAGGCAUCAAAACUUAUUUGCAUAUAUGGCAAUCGUAUUCUACAUCUGGAGGUGUCAACUGAUCAACUUUACCCAAUGAAACUAAAGGGAAUAUCAAUCUGCUUCUUGAUUUUAAAAAAUGCGCUUGGAGGCAACUAUGUCAACUGUGGUGUGUUUAAAUUAUAUGGUGAUGAUACAUUACAUAAUGUUCUUGACAUUGUCGCCAAGCUUAUUCUGUCCAUACGGCAAAGUGAUUUAUUGGAAUACCCGAAAUUGGCCUCGGCUUAUUACAAUUUAUUAAACUGCCUAUCUCAGGAUCAUGUGACAUAUCUUGCCACCUUAGAACCACGCGCAUUUGUGUAUGUAUUGGAAAGUCUGACAAAAGGCCUUGCCGCACUAGAUUCGGCAAUUUAUAUCAGCUGUUGCACUAUUUUAGAUAGCAUUGUAUCGUACAUCUUUAAGCAGCUUCAACUAAAAAUUUCAACAUUCCCAAACAAGAAGCUACGAAGUUUGACACGAGAAAAUUCACAAUUUCUCAAGGUAGUUGAACUAAAUUCUGAGCUACUGCAAAGCAUGAUGUCCUCAUUGUUGAACAAUGUACUGGCUGAGGACUGUCGGAACCAAUGGUCUAUGUCUCGCCCAUUAUUGGUACUUAUACUGCUCUACGAGGAUUAUUAUCGCUCACUGAAGGAAACUAUUAUACGUGGACAACCUGUUGAAAAACAACAGACAAUGGCCCAGUGGUUUGAAGACUUGAUGCUUGGUAUAGAGCGCAAUGUGUCCAGUAAAAAUAAGGAAAAGUUCACACAAAAUCUAUCGACGUUUCGACGAGACGUAGUUAAUCUACCAAAAUCGGCAACAUAUUCGACAGAAAGUUUUUACCAGGCCUAUACUGAAACAAACUACUCAAUAUCGGUAUAAAUGUCGGAAAAAUUUGAUGUCUUCUACUAGUGUUACCUGUCAAAAACCUAUCAUAACACAAUUGAUAAAGUUUUUACCAGGCCUAUACUGAAACAAGCUACUCAAUGUCGGUAUAAAUGUCGGCAAAAUUGGAUGUCUUCUACUAGUGUUACCUGUCAAAAACCUAUCACAACACAAUCUAUGUAAGAAUUAUAUAU